AAAUGAUCCUCUCUCUUCGGCCUCCCAAAACACUGGGAUUACAGACAUGAGCCACCACACCUGGCCACACCUGGAUUCAGAUUUUAUGUAGAAGUUGCCACUCAUUGGAAUCUGGAGUGGAGGGCAGUAGGCUGGAGUGUCCCUGGGAGGCAGGGUCUUUGUGGGAAUUGAAGCUAGGAACAGGCAGGGCCGUGGAUGGGGGGACACUCACUGUGCCAGAAGGGAAGGGGAACUUCUGUGCUGUUUCACCAAGGGGGUCAGUAAUAUCCUCUCCACUAAUUAGGCAGCUGACAAAUGGUGACCUGUUGUUCUGACACUUGAGCCCAGGUUCUGCCUGCCCUCUGUGGGGUCUGAGGACUGGGUCUAGGGAGAGGGAGGAGUCAGUGUCCUGGGGCCAAGCCUCUCGGAGGAGCACCGGAGGGCUGGGAUGUGUCACCUUGAGUGUUCCAGCAUCAGAAGCAAGAUGCUGGCCCCAGCAGUACCCUUGUGCCUGGGCGCACGGGGCAGCCCCUCGGGGGGCCCUUGCCAGGGGCCCCUGUGCCUUGUUGCCAGAUGCUCUCCAAGCAGUGCCCCAGAGAGGGGACAGGAUGUGCCCCAAGUCCCUGCGCUGAGCUAGGACACGUGUGGCUGACGCUGGACUCUAUGCCUUCCCCUUAGACCUUUGUGCUCUGCCCAAGCUCAUGGACUCUGCAGCCUGUGGCGUCCGGGAGUGUGGGAGACAGGCACCGGCUGGGGUUCUGCAUUUGUACUUUUGGGGUAGUAGGACUUACCAUUGCCCGUGGAGUAAAAUGAGUGUUUCUUAGACAAUAUUUCCCUGAGCCCAGAUUCCUCAGAAGUGAAAAUUAAGUUCUUCUAUUAAAAACAUGAGUCAUACCAGUCCAGAUGAGAGUCAUUUUGGUGUUCCUCGAAUUUUUGGAGGGGAAACGUCGCAUUCAUGUUAAUCCAUUCAAUUAUACCUCAUUGCUGAAUAACGUGCCGGGCAUUCUGGGUGGCAGCCUCUGCUGUCUGAUUAGUCGGGGCUGUGUCUGCUGCACUUGAGAGGGAGCAGCUCGGGGCCUUCAUCCUCUUUUGUGCUGGCACACCCAGGUCGGCCGAGCCUCCGGGGCUCCCUUCUUCAUUCCAGGGGCUCAUCGAGAGCCUGGGCAUGGUCUCAGCAUCUGAUUCUUGCAAAUGAUUCCUGCCCAGCUGAAAAGCCUCCCUGUCUGUCUGCUCAUGUGAGUUUUAAGCAGAUGGCAGUAGGUCCCCCACUCUGCACUGGCACAGGGUCUAGGGUCCCCUCUCCCCUGGUGGGCAUCCUGCUCAGGUGAAGGUGGAGACAGGCUUGGUUUUGUUCCCUCAGUGAUGUUAUUUUAUCCUCCCAGAAGCCACCAAUGACCAAGACUGGAACCAAAGCAGGAAAUCAAAGCAAAGUAUCACUGGGUUUGGGGACAGACCCAGAGACUUCUUGUCUAAAGACAGCACAUCCUGCUUUGGGCAAGGGAGCCAAGCAGGUGGGGGAGGUUGGAGAGCAUCAUGGCCCUGGGAUCAGCCCUCUGCAGUGCAGUCUUUCUGCCUCUCACAUGGGCCCUGUCAGGGCCUGGGUCACAGGCAAGUGGACACUUGCCUCCAGCUUCAGCUCCUGGGGGUGGGGCGUGGAGGGGUUGUUCUCUGGGAAGUCUCUGCUGAGGUCGGGGCUGAGGUCCGUGUCACCUGUGCCCUCCCCGAUGGGCCCCUGUACUUACCCAUGGAGACACCUAUCACGGGGUGGGUCUCCUUUCCUGUCUCCCUGGCUGUCCUGGGAGACCAGGCUGUGAGCUAGCCUGGACCCUGUUUGUCCCCAUAGGCCCAGGCGGAGGUCUGGCCCCCAUGAGGCUGUCCGUGAGCGCUUGUGAAUGAAGUGAAAUCAAGUGAAAUGAAGCUGACUAAGCAGACACCCAAUGUGGCCAGAGAUCCAGGGCAGGUGCAUUCGGAGCCUCAGUUUCCUGCAGUGUUGGCUGCCCGCCCAGGCCCAGGGGAGGCUGCAGGUUUGCACAUUUGGACAACAUGGGGCUUGAGCUGCACAUGCUGCAGCUGUCUGACCAACCUGGAAGGCCACCUCUCUGGCUUUGGGUGCACCGUUUGAUUUUUGGAAAUUUUGGGGAGAUCCAUUUUGCUUUUGCUUCUUUAUUCAGCAAGUUGCUCUAGCCCCCCCAGUGCUCAGGUGAAUCCCUGGGUAGGAGGAGCAGUUGCUUGGGUUGAUGGCACCUCCUGGAAAAGAAGACAAAGUGUAGGGAUGAUGAGAAUGAGUGGAAGUCGGUGGGCAGGAUGGGAGAAGCUUUGGGCUUGGAAUCUGAUCCAAAGUGUGGUUUCUGAGUUUGGAACCAACUCUUCUGCUGGGAUGUGUGGAGGGGGGAGUGGGGAUGGGCAGGGGUUCAAGUUCAUUUACUUGUAUCAAGUUGAAGUUUCUUCUUCUUAUAAGUAAGAAGCAAAAGCCCACAUAGAUGAUGAGAAAGACAGGCUGGAAAAGCAGACUUUGCUUACUCAUUAAAUUUUCUGUAAAAUAAACACAAGUUUAGAACCGAGGAACCAGUGGUGGGGGGUACUCCAGAGGGCAGGGCGGAGUUUGGUGUGAACCUCUGGGUGGGAAAUGCACCAGCAGGUCAGAGUCACACAUUCACGUGAAAGAGGUCAGGUGCAGCCCUGAGAAGUAAGGACGAUGGACUCGAGGAACCAGGUGGAGGGGGGUGUGUGUGCACGUGUGUUUGUGCAUGAGUGCAUUGUGUACAUGUGAAUGCAUGUGCAUGUGUACAUGCAUGUGUGCACAUAUGUCUGUGUGCACACGAGUGCAUGUGUGAGUGUGCAUGUGUGUGCCCAUGGAUGCAUGAGUGGCAUUGGCAAUUCUACGCUAUACCCUGAGACCAGGCUCUGUGGCCGGCUGCCAUGAGGAGGAGGACAGAACAGCAAAAGGCACAGGCCAGGAUGGAGUGAGGGGCCCAGACAACACCCAAGUACAUGACUCUGCCCUGGGCCCAGAGGCUGUCCAGCUGCAGGCUCUCAUGGGGACCCCUUUACUCCCCUGGUUGCCCAUGGGCUUGGGCUGGGGACUGGAGCCUCUGCUGCUCCCAUGGUGCUUUCUGAGGCAGAGAGUCCUACGGGGUGCCAGACAGGCCUGGGGCAGACCUGGCUUUGCCUUCUUAACUGGAUGACUUUGGCCCCCACUUCCAUCUUCCAGCCUCAGUUUCCUCACUUGCUAAAAGGAGAUCAUGGUAUUACCUGGGUACGCAUGUGUGGAUGGCUCAGGACGGGGCCCGCAUCUGCAGGCCUCAGCUAGGGGAGCUGUUAUUGAUCUUAUUAUUAUGAUCAUUGUCGUCAUUGGUAGAGGGGAAGGUGUCUAUUGAUCUUAUUAGGAUCAUUGUCAUCGUUGGUAGAGGGGAAGGUGUCUUCUCCAUGGUGAUGCAGGGCUCUGCGGCCCCAAGUGCAGCUAAGUCAGGAGGAGGUGAUGGUGAAGACUGGGUUCCCACCUCAGGCUCCUCCGCACGUCAGUGUCAAAGUCACCCCUGCUAGACCAACUCUGGGGCUGCAGUGCUUUCCUGGAUCUGGCUUUGGGGACAUCCUUAUUCCCCAGUGGGAAGCCCUACCUUCAAUCUCUCUCUUCCCUAGAGUGACUAUCCACACCUGAGCAGGAAAAGCCUUGGCGUGGACCCAAAGCUGGGGAAGUCAGUUUCUUGGUCCUCGGGCAUGAGCUGCUUGGGCUCCUGUGGGAGCCUGUUGCAGAUCCAGAACGAAAGGGCUGGAGCAGGGAGGUGGCCGGCUGAGGAGAGAGAGCUCUUCUCGGUGAUUUCUCCCUGGAGAAAACCUUUUCAGUAAACACACUUCCGCAGUCAAGACGGGCUGGAAAAUCUGUGCCUCCUGUUUACUGUGGGCUGAGAAAGCCCAGGGAUGUAGGGCAGCUGCAGGCAACUCUUCUUCCUCCCCUUCUCCGGUUUUGGCCAUUGUUUUGGACCUGCUCUCCCAACCUUUCUAUUUUCUGCAGUGCUUAUUCUAUCUCUUUUGUUUGUUUCUUCUGCAAGGAAUAGGAUGCAGUUGUCCAGAGACGCAUUAGAGUUGGGCAUGUCCGUAGCAUGUGUGCCUCCAUUGCUCCCUCCUAUACCAUAGCAGACAUCACUUGUCAAUCACAGCACCUCCUUCCCCUGGGCUCUGGCCUGGAUGCUUCAAGCUGAGAGGUAGGGCAGCCUCUGCUAAUCAAUCGUGCUGCCCAGGAAUUGAAACUUAAUUUCUGUCCUGGCAUGACUUUCCUCAGAGGAAAUGGUAAGAGGGUGCACCACCUCACACCAUUUCCUCAGCCCUUGAUGAGAGUCUCGGGGGGCUCAGAGGUCUUCCUGGUUAUGGGACCAUUCAGGGGACUUAGCUGGAGGCAUUGGCCUAAGUGUUGCAGCUGUGGAGAUAGUGGCUGCCCUGUUGAGGGCUAGUGGGUGCCAGGCCAUCCUGAGCACUGCAUUUUUGCAGUGGUUUUGCAGUCAAGGUGCACAGAAGGCAAGGCUUUGAGACUGAGGUCAUAGAUUUAGAGGCAGAGAGGACAACUGGCCUGGCCGGUCCACUCCAGGGCACUCACCUCUCACCCACCCUCGGGCUUCUUCCCCCACCCUCAGCCUCCUAGCUCUCCUGUCUUCCUGCAGCCAUGGCCCUGGCUCAGCCUGAGGCUGAGGUUCUCCCCUGCCGGGGGCCAGGCUCCCCAGGGGCUGGAUCCUGCAUCCCUGUGGCACCUUGCUGAGGUCGUGCUGGGCGCAUGCUUCUCUCCCCUGGUUGUCCCAGUGUCCCUGGCAGCUGUUGUUACUCACAGCUCUGGGCUGGGCUGGCCCUGGCACUGACCUCAUUCCAGCCCACGACCAGGCUUGUUCCUUCACAUGGCCUCGGUGGUCUCCAUGGAUUACACCCCAGGGCUCUGCCCUGCUCUCUGGUCGCGCAGGAGUCCCCUGCGGAUGUCAGUGGAGGCCGAGUGUUUUCAUAAACAAGAAGCGGAGUUUUGGGGUCCAGUAGGAUUAUGAGCCGAGUGAGAGAUGGAACCCCCUCCCCAGCCCAUGGCCUAUCGCCCUUUCCCUUCAGAGUCCUCAUUGUGACUCUGUGGCAGGAUGGCAGCUCCCGUCUUGCAAAUGAGGAAACUGGGGCUCAUAGGAGUCCAGGGCCUCUUGUAAGACCUCAUGGCUCUAGAGUGGCAGAGAGGGGGUUGUAACCAGGUCUCAGACUGUAGCCCUUCUCUAUCCUAGACACAUUUUAGUAAAGCUCUUCCCCACUGUGAGCCCAUCUCAGCCUCUUCUGCUGUCACUGUGCUCUGCUUCCCGGGAGGUGUCCUGGCUCUCGCAUGGAGCCUCUCUCUCCCACUUCUUGGGGGCUCGAGGUUUCCAUGUCCACGUUGGCCUUGGCCUGGCUGCAGUGUAUGUGGCUGUUGGAGCUGAGGGCAGGGACGAGCUUCAUGACCUCUGUAUCCUGGUAUCAGUGUCGUGUCCAGCCCUGAGGGGCCUCACGUCUGCUGGGUGGGUGAAUGGAACUAGAGCGGUUCUUCCAGCGAGCACUCCUUUGCGCAGACUCGGCUGCUGUCUUGGGCCAGAAAUGCCUCAAACAACGGGCCCAGUGGAUUCUGGGAAGGGGCCCUGCCCCGAGCCUGCCCGGACAGGAGGGAGGCAGUGUUAUUAGCUAGAAUUGAGUCUGAAGCCAAAGGGAACCUGAAGGCCCCCUUUCCUCUUGUUAAGUGCAGCCCCGUGCUCGGUCUUGCUUGGGUUAGCUUCCCUGUCUGCAGCUAGAAGGAAUGGCCCUUUUAUUACUUUAGCGCUUCAGGAGACCUCGGGAAAGCUAGGUGUAAAUAUUAGAGGCUGCCAACAGCCAGUGGCAGCAACUGCUUAAUAAACUCCAAAUAAAUAAUGUGGUGAUUAGCAGGGAUUGCAGCUCCAAGAUGCUGGCCUCUGUGGAGGAACGGUCCUUGUCCAUUCCUGGGAUCUGGGGCUCAGGGAAGUCCGAGGCCCUGUGGCUGUGGCCCAGGUGACCACACCAGGCUUUUCCAGUGGGGGAAGGGAUGCCAGGCCUGAGCAGGCCCAUCUUUGUUCAAAUUGUGCCACUCCAAAGGACAAGGGACAGGAUCCUUCGCCUCUUGCUUUAAAACAUCCGGGCUUUCAGACACCCCUGUGGGAAAGUAGACUCCUCAUUGCAACAUGCAUGGCCCCUGGGACUUACUGGACUCAUCUCCCUAUGCUGCCCUGUGUCCGCUACCACCCAGCCAGGCCUCCUGGGGUAGACUUCAUUUACAAAGCACCCGCUCUGUGCUGGGCGUGGUGCAUCUGCUCUCUCCAUUCCUCCCAAUAAUGCUGCUCCGCUGGUGUGGGGAGAUGGAGACUCAGGGGCCUGUUACUUGCCCAGGGCCACCCAGCUGGUGGGAGCUCAGUUCCAGGUGGAUCUGGGGACAGGAUCUGCCAGAGCCCUGUCCCUCAGGGCUGCUGUUGUUGGCAGCUGAGCUCUGCUCCACUGGGCUCCUUGCUCCACUGGGCUCCUGGGUGCCUCUGCCCUUUGGCCUGGCCAGACUCUGCCCAGCAAGCCCUGGGCAUCCCCAGGCAGCCGAGGGAGCUCCUGUUUACUCUCCGGGAAAAGCUCCCCCAGGCAGCACUUGCACCUGCCUCUGGGCCGGCUGAUAAGUCAUGUCACAUCCUCUUUGUGUGGAAUGUGAAGGCCUCCAGGGCACAGAUUGUGCCUGAUGCCUCUAGCUCCGGCUCCCAGCACCCAGGGUGCACAGGAGGUCAAUGAGGGGCUGAGUGAAUAGGGGAUGCUUUUGGAGCCCUCUUGCCCACCAGAAACAGGAAGGGCACUGGAAGUGACUGAGGUGAGUGCCCAAAGCUCCCUCAGCUUCAUGGGGGAUUUUCUGGUCCCAAGGUCUCAGCUAGAGGGACUUUAGAUUGGAAAGGAAGGGAUGAGGUGCCCUUGGCCAGGUGAUUUCUGAGAGUUAGGUCUGCAAAGGCUCAUCAAGGUGCAGGGGGCCCCCUGAGCUGGAGCAGCUAUUGGGUCCUCAUGUAUUUUUUCGCUUUGUCAUUUAUGUCAUAAUAAGAGGAAUUUGAAGUCUCUUGCUUUAAGUAAACCAGUAAUAGAAGCAUUAAAAUGAUGGUGAAAGAAUGAGAAUCAUACAAUCAAGGGACAGAAAAGGUAGUCCUAGUAAUCUGCAUUGCAUAAAAACCUAGAAUUUACCUCUGAGCUUCCUGGCAGCCUUGGCAAAAAUGGAAACAUUGUGAUUUCUGAUUCACUUAUGAAAGAAAGUAAUAGUUCAGCAUAGAGAGUUUUGGAUCAACUGCAAGCUUGGAGGGCUUCAUCCCAUGGUUUUUUAGAUAAGACCGGGCCUUUAUCUAUGAUAAAUACCAGAUAGUGAAGUACUUUAGGGUUCGUGGGCCAAGUGGUCUCUCUUGCAACUAUAGUAGUCUCCUCCUAAUCCUUGGGGGGAUAUGUUCCAAGACACCCAGUGGAUGCCAGAAACCUCGGGUAGUAGUGAACCCUGUUGUACUGUGUUCUUUUUCCUAUACACACAUACCUAUGAUAAAGUUUAAUUUAUAAAUUCAGCACAGUAAGAGAUUAACAACAAUAAUUAAUAAUGAAAUAGAACAGUUGGAACAAUAUGCCAGCAUCAUUGCCCUUGCACUUUGGGGCCAUUAUUAGGUAAAAUAAGAGUGGCUUCGACACAAGCACUGCGAUACUACCACAGUUGCUCCGAUGCCCAAGGAGGCUACUAGUGACUAAGGGGCAGGUGGUGUCUUACAGCAUGGAUAUGCUGGACAGAGGGAAGAUUCAGGUCUUGGGCAGGACAGAGCAGGGUGGUGCAAGAUCUCAUCACACUACUUGGAGUGGCUCAAAAUUUAAAACUGAUGAAUUGUUUAUUUCUGGAAUUUUCCAUUUAAUAUUUUUGGACCAUGGUUAACCUCGGGUAGCUGAAACCCCAGAAAGUGAAACCACGGGUAACAGGGAACUACUGUAUUCAACUGUGCCACUGUAGUGCAAGAGUACCCGUGGACUAUUAAUGAACAGGUGUGGCUGUUGUUUCAAUAAAACUUUAUUUACAGAAACAGGCAGACAUCCAUGGCCCGUAGUUUGUGGCCCCCAGGGAUAAGAGAUAGUAUUACCCUGAUGGAUGACUGUGACAUCUUCCCAUCUUGACCCUGUUGGAGGCUGAGAUCUUCUUGUUCUGUGUCCUUGGAUCACCCUCUGCCUCUGCUCCUGGAGAGAGAAUCUGGUCCAGGAGGCCUCUGGCCCUGGCCUCCAUUGGAUGAACCUUGCUGGCUCAGGUGUUCCUUCCCCAAAGCCUCGGUCCUCUGUUGAGGGUAUCGGGGGUACUUCAGGCUCCCUUCCCACAAGACUCCCCUCCCAACCCCUGGCUACGAAGGGCUGCCUCUUUGGAGCUAACCUUCCUUCAACAACUUGAUUCUGCAAUGAGAGAUCUUUGCUGGAAGACCUUGGUGGGAGUGGCUUUAUGGCUGUCUGGACUUGGUCCACCGUGGUCAAGAACCAUACUGCUCCCGGGAACUGGUAUGUGUGCUGUUAUUUUCUUUUAAUUUUGGAGGUAAAAUGUGGGAACAGAACUUUCUGGGAAUUCUGCUCCUUACCACGUACUCUGUUUGUUUAUUUACAUAUUCCUGACCUCAUUCCACAAAGCUGGGGGGUAGGGGGGCGGAUGCUUCAAAUGUCCUGUCAAAUUUUGGGCUCCUUUUUCCUCCUCUGGAAAAGGGAGCUCAUCUCAGGCAUCACAAAGUUCACAGAGCGCCCAGGACAGGGUGACACAGGAGGUCCUCACGUCGCUCCUCCCCUUUCCUGGCAUGCUGGUGUAGCGAGCGCCUGGUCCUUGGGCGCAUUUAACCAGUCAUUGUAGAAGUGGGAGAUGCAGGCUUUGGGAGAGUCCGCGAAUUUUCCCAAACCGUCAAACUUGUGGAGCACCAGAGUGAAUGCGAAUCCUCCACUGGCCCUGCUGGCCUGGGCCGUCUCAGUUAGGGACUGUCCCCGGAUGCUCAUUUUCAGGGUCUGAGACCCUGUGGCCACACCUCCAUGAAGAAAUGGCCGGGUAGGAUGGAGCCGUCAUCACUACCAGCUGUAGAAUUCUCUCUUGACAGCCCAGGAGGGCCCUCGGUUCGUUCAAGGGCCUGUUUUUUUUUUAAUUCCCUCUUCCUACUGUUGUGAAAGAGCUGCUUCCAUUAAGGAAGGAUCAUAUUAUGCUCCCUUUCAAAGUAAUGUAACUGGAGGGGCAUCCCCUGAACACCUGCCCACAGGUGAUCUGGGACCUGGUCCGCCUGUCCUGUCCCAGGUACCCCUCCAUCCAAGGACAGGGGGCACAGACUGUAAUGGUGUUGUCACAUGAAGUGGGCUGAAUUUAGGCCCCAAGUUACAUGUCUGUGUUUUGCUUUGCCCAUGUGGCCUUAUUGUGUGUACAUUUAUGAGUUUCUUUAGGUUUUGAACAUUUUUGAAUGAGAAAUGCAGGCAGCCCUUCGUGACAGCCUUCAGAGACCCAAGGACGGAAGGAAGAUGCUGCUGUUCGAUUUUGUCUAGAACAUUCUUUUUACCACUUGGGCUCGAGCUCUCGCUCUGUCUGGAUGUGGGGGAAAAGGGACAUUAUUGGUAAGGGAGAAGGUUCUAGACACUCUUGUUAGGCUCCCAGAUGCCCAGCACUGGCCUGGCCCCUGGGAGGUGUCCAGGGACUGCCCCUGGGAUGAAUAGCUGCCGGGCAUUGGCAGGAAGCUGGUGGAGCAAUGUGGGGUGGAGUGGGUGUUGGCGAGUCCCCCACCCACCUCCCUGAGCACUGUGGAGUGAAUGAUAGGGCUGGGGGAGCAAAGUUCUGAGUUCUCCUGCCUGCCUCCCUCCCCCCUACCCCAAGGCUGUUGGGUGGUGAAAAUGCCUUUGGCCACUGCAGAUGGAAGAGCUCGGGUGCUCAGGACAGGCCAGUGGGGUGCGGGAUCGGGGGCAGUUGCUAGGUUGUUACAGGUGCCUUAGCCUCUCUGCACUAACCCCAGGGAGAGAGAGGCCUUCAUUCCAGACCCCCUGGAAAGACGAGUCCACAGACUUCCCCAGAGGCCCACCAGGCAGCUUGUGCAUGGAUCCUGUCUGCAGCAACCUGCCCAGAGAUGGGUUCACAGGUGGCUCAUUAGUGAACCCCUUUUGUGGGCCCACCUCCAGUCAUCACCCACAAGGCAGCCUUUUCCCCUCUGAGGCCGAGCUCUGACUGAGCAGGGAGAAUGCCCAUGCUUCAGGCACUGGGUAGAGCCUGGAAGGCUAGGGUGGGGGCAGUGGCUGGAAGACCAUGAGGAGGAAGUCCUUCCAUCUGCAAGGGCCUGGGGGACCUGGGGGCUGAUGGCAUCCUGGGCACUGCUGACCUUCUUGUGGCACUCCUUGGCUCAGAGCGGGGGGUUCAGGGGCGCUUGGGGCGUUGCGAUAAGAUUGACUAGGCCACGAGAGGGAGGUGGCUGCUUCCUUCUGUGCGCUCCCCCGGCCCCCAGCCCUCUAUCCCUAUCUGAGCUGAAGGUCCCACUGUGCUGGCCUGUAAUGAUGCCUUCAGUGUUGGGGGUAGGGGGGCUCCCUUCAUAACCACGUCCUCUCUUGUCCAGCACAGAGCUUGGCCCAGGAGAUGCAGUUUUCAGACCCAUUUGUGCAAUUACAGAGUAAAGAAUGACUCACUGAAUGAAUGAGUGAAUGAAUGAACUCCUUGUGAGUAGGGACCUUCCCAGGACCCCCAUGGUGCCUAGCACAUAGUAGAUGCUUAGGAAAUGCUGCUCAGCCAGUGGACCCAUUCCGAACCCACUUCUCCUUUCUUCAUCCUCACUGACACUGAUGGAACGUGGUGCACCUUUCCUUUCGUUAACCUCUUUGAACUCGCCUUUAAGAAAUUAAAGUUCUGGAUUCAGUGUCAGUGUUCUGUUGGCCCCAGGCAUGCAUGUCAGCAUCCUGCCACUAGAAGGUCUCAGGGGUCAAGUGAGAUCUUUUCAUCUCAGAAGUCUCUCUCUGUCCUGGGGCUUCACGGGUUAUUUCCCUCUUUGAUGAUGGGAUUUACAGGAGCAGAGCUGAGCCCUGUGGAGACCUUCUGUUUGGUGCCAGGCCAUGUGGCUGACUAGGCCUGUUCUGCUCCCUGCGGCCAUGGGGAACGAGAACGGGAACACAUGGGGCAGUGGAGCAGCCCUUGCCUUCCAGAUCUGUGGUUGGGGAAAGCCACAGCCUCAGUUUGUCUUCUAGGAAGUGGGAGUUGAGAUAGGGUGUGGAAGGGCCCAGCUUCGUGCCACAGUGGGGUGCGGACAUUGAACAGCUGAGAGCCGGGAUGAGGGGACCCUGUGUAUUUCUUAGUGGAAACAGCUUUUCACCGGCUGUCCGACCCCAGAGCACUUGGGCUGUGAGGCCCUGGAUUCUUGGCGGGGGUUUGAAUUAGAUUUGCCUGGUUUGACUCCCUUCCUGACCAGAGACCAGAACCCAGAGAGGAGAAGGGACACUUCUGGGUCACUCAGCAGGGGCAGCGCUGCAUGAGACCCCAGGCUUGUUCUACCGGCUCCAGGUGGCCUCGGCCUCGCUAUUCCCUGCCUGAGCUAGGCUGAAUGAGGCUGAGGCUGGGGAGGUUGGACUGCCCUGUAGCCAGGAGGACUGUUAGACUUGAGCUCUAGUGGCCGACGACAGGUGGCCUCUGCUCUCUCCCCAGGGCUCUGUGGGCCCUGCCUCCCUCUCUCUCCCUCCCAUCCCCAUGAGUCCUCAGGGCACUCCUUGCGUUGCCUUGCGCAUGGCUUCAGGAGGAAGCUGUCUUGUUUGUCAUUUCUGGCCCAGGGCUGGGCUGUCCUCUUCUACUUCAAGGCACAUUUUGGCUGAUCAUGAAAUUGCUACCCAGCACCUUCUCUGAUGGAAGGGCAGUGAGCUGACAAGCUGGGAGGCUCAAGUGUCCUCCUCCUGGGAUAGGCCUAUUAAAAGAAAAAGCAGGAGAAAAGAACUCUUAGAGGCUCCUACAGCAUGCAGAGCUUUCACCAGAAACAAGUGAUCCUGGCGCUUAUAAAGAGGCCAGUGGCUGGCCAUGCUCACACCUGUAAUCUCAGCACUUUGGGAGGCUGAGGUGGUAGGAUGGCUUGAGUCCAGGAGUUUGAGACCAGCCUGGGCGAUAUAGUGAGAUCCUGUUUCUACACAGAAAUAAAAAAUAAAAAAAUCAGCCGAGUGUGGUGGUGUAUGCCUAUAAUCCCAGCUAAUCGGGAGGCUGAGGUGGGGAGAAUUGCUUGAGCCCAAGAGGUUGAGGCUGCAGUGAGUGGUAAUCGAGCCACUGUACUCCAGCCUGGGCAACAGAGUGAACUGUCUCUACCGAAAAAAAAGAGGCGAGUGUUUCUGGCUGAUGCCCCGACUCCUUCCUGCCUGUUGUGGGCUCAAGGACCCCCUUUGGAGCCUGGCAUUGUUCUGGUCACCAGAAAUAGAGAGGAAGAGUGCAGCUCCUUGGGGGCACCCUGGCAUAGAGCCCGGGAGCAGUGUGAGGCACCGAGGGAUGGUCAAAGGGAGGCCAGGAGCUCUGCAAGGGAGUGUGAGCCCAGAAGUGAAGGAGGCAAAGACAUUCCCAGGUGGGCACAGUGGAGGGGCAGCCACACAAGGCAGAGGGGAUGCCAGUGCUGGGUGUGAGCAAGGAGACACUUCUGGGAUGUGCCAGGGGCGGUGCAGCACCAGGGACCUGGGACAGGGUGCAGAGAGACGGCCUGGGUGGCUGCUGGGGGCAGAACAGGGUGAACACAGGGCCAGGACAGGGACUGGGGGCAGGUCUGUUUCCCUAGGGAGCAGCCUUGUCAUGGGAGGUGGGGGCUUCUGGCUGUGUGACCUUGGACAAGUUACUCCACCUCUCUGAGCCUUGAGUUUCUCAUCUCUAAGCAGGAAGGAAGCCCCCUGUGGGAUGGUGAUGAUCAUGACAGCGAUUCAUGUUGCCGCAGGCCUUCAUCAGGCUCUAGAUGAGAGGGGAGCAUUGUCCCGUCACCAUUUGUGUCCUGCCCUCCCUUAAAACAGUAUUUGGACUGUUAAUUGUGUGUGACAACUUUUUAACUACCGACCACUCUUCAGCUGGUGAGGGUCAAUUUGCUUUUCAGGCAUUCUUUACAAUGAGCCUUGGUUUUGCUUCCAGGGUGAGAAAUCCCUGGCGAGGGUUGCGUUUUCCUCUGUAGAAAUGAUUUGCACGGGCUACUGCCCACUUCCCUCGGAGAACUGGGAUCCUCUGCAGCUUUGAUCCUGCUCUUAGGAAAAUGCUGGAGGCCUGGUGGGGGGUGCUGUGUGUCCACUGUCCGACCUGCCUUGGUGCCCUGGCUUCUCCUCCCAUGCUGCGUCUGGCUGUGCCACUUCCCCAAGCCAGCAAAGUCUGGUCUGAGAGCAUAAAGGAUACGGAGGCUGGACUUCCCCUGGCCAGCCUGUGGACCACUGGGGGGCUGCUUCCCAUGCAGUUUGAGUCAGCAAAUAUUGACCAGGGGCUGCUCUGUGCCAGGCCUCGGGGGAGGGCUCCAGGCCCCGAGGUGAGCCACACGCAGGGCAGUCUCUGCCCUCUGGAAGCUUCUUGUCCAGGACUUGCCGGCUCUCAUUCCAUCCUGGGUUAGCUCCAGUAGUGGCUGUGCCAGCCUCCUGCGCCAUGCCAGGGACAUGUGGCCAUGGGGGUCUGUGACCCAGCCCUGGAGCUGGCAUUUGCAGGGUGUCCAGAUGGGUGGGCCAUGUGGUAUGAAGAGAGAUGCCCCGCCUCGCUGCCUCAUGGGCAAAGUGGCAUCCCUGGGCCCAGGCAGAGAUUUUCUCACCUCUCUGAGGGACAGAUGCCCAGGCCCCCAGAGGAGGCCUGUCGUGGUUGGAGGGCUUCCAGAUGUCAGCAGAUGCCUUGCCCUACAGGGCCAACUGUGCCUGUGCCUGUGAUCUGGGGCACUGCUCAUGUCCCCUGGCUCCAGCCAUAGAUAUUGGCUUCUUGGCACUUGGCCUGGCACGGCCCUGGGCUUUGUGAGUGGGAAUGACACAGCUCCGAAUGGGGCUUCAGCCCAGUCCCCUUCCCCUGCCCAUUCUGGGUGGAAUCUGAGCUCCCCAAGACUGACCAGCGCCUGUGCUCCUGCACCAGGACAGCAGGCUCUUCUCUCGGCUGCGGACCCCUGCAGCAUCCUGGAUUCCCAAAUACUCACAGUGGGCCUCAUGGGGUUUCACUGCGCACCCGUGAUGUGUGUCAAUAAGACUGUUUAAAAAAAAAAAAGACGAGAGUCCCUGUCUGUGGUGGAAUUUGGUGCCUUUUGAAGCCGAGGGAUGGAGAAGUCAGGGGGAGCUCUUUCACAAGAAAUAGACUCUCAUAUCUUGGGAUUUGGGGAAACAGAACUGGUGAGGUUUUUUUUUUCCUUCCCAGGCACGCUGUAUUAUUAAGACACUCUGUCUUAUAAGGGAUGUUGGAUAAUUAAUCCUGUGGCGAGGCAAUACCAACAAGCGUUCGAAUAUAUUUAAAUAAUGAGGAAGUUCUUUAAUGUGGACCCAUAAAAUAAUUGUGGGCCAGUGGCAUGAAAAACAAGAAGAUCUGUAUUUAUUGAAAUGUACUUUUCCCCUUUAGAAGACAGGGAUUUUUCUUUUGUGUACACACACACAUAUGCAUGCACACACGCACACACGUGCACGUGCGCGCGCGCGCGCACACACACACACACACACACACACACACACACACACACACACAGCAUUUAGCCAGAACCCUGCUAAGUCUUCUCCCUUUUCAGUCAAAAAGAAUCAAUUAUGCCUUGUGGUCGCUUUCCAAAAACCACUUUUGAUUGUGUGAUUUUGUUUCAGUCGAGAGCGCUCCAAUCAGUCCCUCAGAAACAAGAAGGGGGAAAGAACCCUCUCACCAAAUAUCUGGGCGUCUGUGCAGAUUCUCAGCCAUUGAGAAUAUUGACAGCAAUCAGAAUUCCUCGGCUGUUGAAACUUCGCCUCUAAUUGAACUGGGAAAGGUAAACCCAGAUUCAGGGCUCUGCACGCUGUAAUUGCAAUAAUUUAAUUUAGCUAUUUAACCUGUAAUUCAGUGGUAUUUAUUAAGGAGCAUGGGAGAAAAUGAGGCCAUUAGGAGCCAGAGAUGAAUACAUUGAAAUGAAAAUGAACACUUCUAACUGCCAGUUGACCUUCGGUUUGUAGCAGUUUUUAUUAGGCUGGUCACGGUAAUUACCAGGACGUGGAUCAGGGAGGAAAAGCGAAUAAUUCGGUAAUGAACAUUUUUAUUCAUUAUCUCACAUUUUCAGGAAGCGGACAAGUAUCGCAAAAGUAUCAGUGAUGCUUCCUUUCUGUUUGUUUUUUUAAAAAAUGAUUGUUUUGGACAACGGCCCCGCGCAAAGCGUCCCUCGCCGUGAGCAAGUGGUGUCCGGGGAGUCUGAGCUAGGCGCUCUGGUGUGUCACGGGGCUGGGGUGCACCUGGGGAUGGCUGACCUAGUCUGCCUGGGAGGAAUGCAGAGAGUCGGAAGCCUGCUAGCCCCAUUCGCCGAAGAGUUUUCUAAAACCAUUGAUUAAGUGGAAAGUUUUUUGCUGUGCUGACCGGGGGUGGGGUGGAACAGGUAUUCUUGUGUCUUAGGAUUAGCCCAGAUGGGGCUGUUCUGGUGAGUGCAAAGCAGUGCAUUUCGGAAGGUGCGGAAGGUGCGGAAGGUGCACUCUGUUUGGAAGGCUGGGGGUAUGGCUGAGAAUGUGUCGCGAGACCUUUCAUACCAUUCAAUCCAGGAAUUCUACUUCCAGGACCACGGCCUGAAGACUAACCAGGGACACGCAUAGGCUCAUACGUAUACACCUGCAGCGUCCCUAUAAUCAUGGAAAAGAGAGUGGUGAAAUAAACAUGCCCCAGCCAUAGGGUGGAACAUCACCCAGCAAUUGAAAAUAAUGAUGUCAGGGCACUUCUAGCGAUGUGGGAAAAUGUCAAGCACAAAUCAAAACUGUAUACAGCAGGAGCUCAGCUGUUUGAACUGUAUACAGCAAGAGCUCAGCCGUUCGAUGUCUGUGUGUUCUUGUCUAUCUGCAUCCACAGGAAAGGGACCGAAAGGAAACAUUGACAUUUUAAGAGAAGUUAUUUUGAUGGAUUAUAUUUCCUUCCAUAUCCUUGUUUGUACCUGUAAAGGUUUCCACAAGAAGAAAAGUUUCCUUGAAAAUCAGACAGUGCAAUGACACUGAUCUCAAAAGUUGUAGCCACUUUUUCUCAGUGGAAAGAAAAGUUUCUAGCUGGGCACCCUGCAUCGGCAGCCUCUGCCAACCUUGUGGUUUCAUUAGCUCCUCCUCCCACUUCCCAGAAAACCAUCCAGCCCUUCGAUGGAUCAGGGGGAUACACACUAAGCCCACGCGUGUCAGCCAGCUGUGAUGGAUAGCUUCCCGACACAGCCCGCGUCCUGUGCAUUUGGGAGGCAUCGUCUCUUUAUUGCUCUGAUUUCCAUACCUGGCUUGCGGCUUCAAAUUGGAAGUCAGGGGCCUGCACAGCAGAGUCUGCUGUCCUCUUCUGGGGCUGGGGGUGCAUGACCCAGAAAGGGGGACACUUGGUGAGGAUGUCUCCCUCGCACGCAGCUGUCCAGUUGAUGGCCUCCGUCUCUGAGUCUCCGCUCCAGCCGUCUGUCUGCUUCGUUUCUGGCUGUGGUCAUUUCCUUUCAGAUAGAGACGUUAGAAAUAAUCAUAUUCUAUUCACGCAGCGAGGAAGAGUGCGUGCGGGGUGUGUAUCUUGGCGUUGUCAGAAGAACCUUAUUAGAUAGGAGGCGAAUCCUCCUCCCCACAGCAAGGGCUUCAUUUCCUCCCUGGAGCACCCCUCACCACCCUCUGACACCCAAAGGAAUGAAUGAGAGGCUUGCCUUGUGAAAAAAAAAUUCUCUUUCCAAUCUUCAAUUUUCCAACUUCACUCAUUUUCUUUAUUAAGGGUACUAUGGAUAUUGGAAAGAAAGAAAUAAAAUGACAGCUCUGCCCUGAAUCCA